CCUACGGGACGCAGCAGUGGGGAAUAUUGGACAAUGGGGGGAACCCUGAUCCAGCGACGCCGCGUGAGUGAAGAAGUAUUUCGGUAUGUAAAGCUCUAUCAGCAGGGAAGAAAGGAAUGACGGUACCUGACUAAGAAGCCCCGGCUAACUACGUGCCAGCAGCCGUGGUAAUACGUAGGGGGCAAGCGUUAUCCGGAUUUACUGGGUGUAAAGGGAGCGCAGACGGUGAGACAAGUCUGAAGUGAAGGCCCGGGGCUCAACCCCGGGACUGCUUUGGAAACUGCCUGACUGGAGUGCUGGAGAGG
rnacentral:rRNA from 1 species